rnacentral:lncRNA from 1 species
GAUCGAUCAAGAAAGGGGAGCCAAAGGGGGAAAACCCUAACAUCCUAAAAUCAUUCAAAUUGAAAGGGGAAUCAAAGAUUUGUCGAAUGCAUGAGCCAGUAACUUUGAUUAUCUAAGUGAAUUUGAUAUCAAGGGCAAAGGAAGAAGAAGGAACAAGUCUAUCCAAGGCACAAGAAAUGCAAGACCUCGGUAAAUCCCAUGCUUAAUCGCGGCGCGCUUGAACCGAACAUACCACAUCGCCCGUCACACGCUUCCAAUUAAUGUUGUCUUUUGUAAAAAGGGUCAAAAUAGCUUUUGUUAAGUAAAUGUAAGGCCUAUAGUUAGGAUGUUUGUAACUAGCUUGGUUUUUAACUCUAUUGGGUAGUUGGAUAAAGUGCUUAUGAUGGACCUUGUAUGGUCAUAACCUUACCAUAUU